UAGGCCCAUAGAUACAAUUAUUAGAAAUUCCUGGUUUUGUGCCCAUAUUGAAAGAAGGCCUGAAUGGGUAUGCUAAGGACCCGAAAGUGAGCCACUCUCCCUAACUCCAGCUUCUGUGGUUAAUUAGAUUUGGAUGGUUUCAGAGGAGCAGCUGGAGUUUUCAGAAAAUGGAAGCGAUAAAAAGGGACUAUUCAAGGCUGCAUCAUGUGUUUUUCAUCAAGUGAAGCUUUUCAGUGAACUGGCAGUCCUUCCAAAUAUGAUCUGCUGUAACCAAAUGGACAGGGAACAUGAAGCACCUUUAUGAACAAGAAAGCAAAAUAAGCACAGAGAAAUUGGGCAGAACAUGGUGAAACUCCAUUAUACACUGUCUCAGGCUAUCAUGGAUGGUACUGCACGUCCAACACUUUCUUCAGAGUCAACAGGUUUAUCACUGACACAAGAGACCAGCAGGAGCCUGCAGCAAGCUGACAUCUCUGACAUGAGCGUUCUGGUCAACUGCUGCUGAUUUCAGAGUCUUCUAUGACUAGCCAUGCAAAAGGAAGGCAGAGCCACAAAACUGGUCUGUGUGCAAAGGAAAGAAUGAUCCAGGAAAGAGAUUCUUGAGCUUGCCAAUUAGAGCCAGAACUAUCAGCCUUUGCUUUUUUACUUCCUGCAGCAUUUUUCUGGGGAAGUCACUCAAGCUCUCUGGGGCUCGGUUUCCUUAUUUAUAAAAGAGAGAAUUUGUCUUCUAAACCAGUAAAUUUGAGUAAGAAAAAGACAACCCGGGCACCAGGCACAGUAGAUCAUACCUGUAAUCCCAGCACUUUUGGAGGCUGAGGUGGGUAGAUCCCCUGAGGUCAGGAGUUCAAGACCAGCCUGGCCAACAUGGCAAAAACCCAUCUCUACUAAAAAUACCAAAAGUUAGCAGGAUGUGGUGGCACACGCCUGUUAUCCCAGCUACCUGGGAGGCUGAGGUGAGAGAAUUGCUUGAACCUGGGAGGAGGAGGUUGCAGUGAGCUGAGAUUGUGCCACUGCACUCCAGCCUAAGCAGCAGAGUGACUCCAUCUCAAAGAAAAAACAAAGACAAUCCAGUAGAAAAGAAGACAAAACUUAUAAAUAGGCAAUUCAUAGAAGAGAAAAUACAGAUCACAAAAACAUAUGUGAACAGAAGUUCCUUUUAUCAGGGAAAUGCAGAGUAAACUAUGGUGAGAUACAGUUUCUCAUCCAUAAUACUGGCUAACAUUUUAAAGUCUGACAAUUCCAAGUGUUGAGAAGGAGGCAGACUGAUGGAAACUCUCAUUUACUAUUAGUGGGAGUAUAAAUUGGUACCACCAUUUUGAAGAGCAGCUGGCAUUUUCUAGUAAAUUUAAAUAUGCACAUUUCCUAUAUUCUUGCAAUUCUGCAUGUAAGUAUUUUCUCUAGAUUAACACUCACAGAGAGGUAAUGGAGGCACAUAUAUGAAUUGUUGCAGAAUGUACAACUGGAAAUAACUUGCAGAUCUGUCAAAGGAGCUUGAUUAAGUAGGUAUUGCAUACAUUUAUUUAUCCAGAUUUAUCAAAGGAGAUUGGCAGAUCUAAAUAAAUAAUCUGUGGAAUGGUCCUACA
rnacentral:lncRNA from 13 species